UCCCCCGUCGUCUAGUGGCCCAGGACGCCGCCCUUUGAAGGCGGUCACGGAGGUUCGAAUCUUCCCGGGGGAG
rnacentral:tRNA from 1 species